rfam:Lupinus angustifolius cultivar Tanjil chromosome LG08, whole genome shotgun sequence.
UCGAGCCGUAUGAAGGGAAACUAUCACGUACAGUUUUUGUCUUUUUUUGGGGGGGGAGGAGCCCGACAGGGUCCCCCCACUGACUUGGCCCAGGCCUAAGUUAAAGUGAAGUGGUGGGCCUACCCAUCCCAAC